GGCGUAAAGGGCUCGCAGGCGGUUUCUUAAGUCUGAUGUGAAAGCCCCCGGCUCAACCGGGGAGGGUCAUUGGAAACUGGGAAACUUGAGUGCAGAAGAGGAGAGUGGAAUUCCACGUGUAGCGGUGAAAUGCGUAGAGAUGUGGAGGAACACCAGUGGCGAAGGCGACUCUCUGGUCUGUAACUGACGCUGAGGAGCGAAAGCGUGGGGAGCGAACAGGAUUAGAUACCCUGGUAGUCCACGCCGUAAACGAUGAGUGCUAAGUGUUAGGGGGUUUCCGCCCCUUAGUGCUGCAGCUAACGCAUUAAGCACUCCGCCUGGGGAGUACGGUCGCAAGACUGAAACUCAAAGGAAUUGACGGGGGCCCGCACAAGCGGUGGAGCAUGUGGUUUAAUUCGAAGCAACGCGAAGAACCUUACCAGGUCUUGACAUCCUCUGACAACCCUAGAGAUAGGGCUUUCCCUUCGGGGACAGAGUGACAGGUGGUGCAUGGUUGUCGUCAGCUCGUGUCGUGAGAUGUUGGGUUAAGUCCCGCAACGAGCGCAACCCUUGAUCUUAGUUGCCAGCAUUCAGUUGGGCACUCUAAGGUGACUGCCGGUGACAAACCGGAGGAAGGUGGGGAUGACGUCAAAUCAUCAUGCCCCUUAUGACCUGGGCUACACACGUGCUACAAUGGACAGAACAAAGGGCUGCAAGACCGCAAGGUUUAGCCAAUCCCAUAAAUCUGUUCUCAGUUCGGAUCGCAGUCUGCAACUCGACUGCGUGAAGCUGGAAUCGCUAGUAAUCGCGGAUCAGCAUGCCCCGGUGAAUACGUUCCCGGGCCUUGU
rnacentral:rRNA from 1 species